GACGAAGGGGGCUAGCGUUGCUCGGAUUGACUGGGCGUAAAGGGCGCGUAGGCGGUUCGUACAGUCAGACGUGAAAUUCCUGGGCUCAACCUGGGGGCUGCGUUUGAUACGUGCGGACUUGAGUGCGGAAGAGGGUCGUGGAAUUCCCAGUGUAGAGGUGAAAUUCGUAGAUAUUGGGAAGAACACCGGUGGCGAAGGCGGCGACCUGGUCCGAUACUGACGCUGAGGUGCGAAAGCGUGGGGAGCAAACAGG
rnacentral:rRNA from 1 species